CCAAUAGCGUAUAUUAAAGUUGUUGCAGUUAAAAAGCUCGUAGUUGAAUUUCGGGAUCAGUACGCCGGUCGUGCCUUCGGUAUGUACUGGUGUUACUGGUUCCUACCUUCUGACGAACCGUCAUGUCAUUAAUUUGGUGUGGCGGGGAAUCAGGACUGUUACUUUGAAAAAAUUAGAGUGUUUAAAGCAGGCUCGCGCUUGAAUACAUUAGCAUGGAAUAAUGAAAUAGGACGUUCGAUCCUAUUUUGUUGGUUUCUAGGAUUGACGUAAUGAUUAAUAAGGAUAGUUGGGGGCAAUAGUAUUCAAUUGUCAGAGGUGAAAUUCUUGGAUUUAUUGAAGACUAACUACUGCGAAAGCAUUUGCCAAGGAUGCUUUCAUUAAUCAAGAACGAAAGUUAGGGGAUCGAAGACGAUCAGAUACCGUCGUAGUCUUAACCAUAAACUAUGCCGACUAGGGAUCGGAUGAUGUUAUUUUUAAUGACUCAUUCGGCGCCUUACG
rnacentral:rRNA from 1 species